UUUAGGGCGGGAGUGACGUCUUGUCUCCUGGAGAGGCCACGGGGUCCGUAUUUACUCAGGGCCGAACCGCCAGCUUUCUUCGUGGCCAUCUUAACCCUUGAUGGAAGGCUGAGGACCAGACUCUCGGUGCUGGCCGAAGUCUCCGAGUCCAGGUUCUCCUCGUCAGAGCCCCGAGGGUCCAGCUCUGGCAGCCGGUUUCAAACGUCCUGGGCAGGAACCACAGGAUAAAAUGCAUCUGCUGGGCACCCAGCCCCCAUGCCUAGAGGAAGAGAGAGAUAGAAACAUCAAUGAUGAGAACCAUGGAUCGGCUGCCUCCUGCACGCCCCCUACUGGGGAUUGAGCCUGCAACCUGGGUAUGUGCCCUGACCGGGAAUUGAACCCUGGACCCUUCAGUCUACAAGCCAACAAUCUAUCCACUGAGCCAAACCAGCCAGGGCUCAGAUGCUUUGGAUUGUAACACAGUUCUGCAGUGUGUCCAGCCCCUAAUAAGACCUCACAGACAUUUUUCAGAGAAAUUUAAAUAAAG